rnacentral:lncRNA from 1 species
GUAAUACAAGGCUUGAGUUCCGACAUUUUCUUCUUGCUCUGGUUUAUUCAAUACAUAGCAAUCAUCUUGAUAUUGAUUCAAUUUGAAACAAUAAAAAACCUGAUGGGUUUAUAACUACAGCCACUUAAAAGUGUAUUCCUUAACAAAUGCAUAUAUAUAUUUCUUUUUGACAGGCAGAGUGGAUAGUGAGAGAGAGAGAUAGAGAGAAAGGUCUUCCUUUUUGCCAUUGGUUCACCCUCCAAUGACCGCCACGGCUGGUGCGCUGCGGCCGGCGCACCGCACUGAUCCGAUGGCAGGAGCCAGGUGCUUCUCCUGGUCUCCCAUGUGGGUGCAGGGCCCAAGCACUUGGGCCAUCCUCCACUGCACUCCCUGGCCACAGCAGAGAGCUGGCCUGGAAGAGGAGAAACUGGGACAGAAUCCGGCACCCCGACCGGGACUAGAACCCGGUGUGCCGGCGCCGCUAGGUGGAGGAUUAGCCUAGUGAGCCACGGCGCCGGCCAAAUUCAUAAAAUUUUAAUUUUAUUUCUUUAAAGGUUAAUUAAUUUAUUUAUUUAUUUAUCUGAAAGGCAAUGUUACAGAGAGGCAGAGUCAGAGAGAGAGACAGAUAGAGAGAGUCUUCCAUCCACUGGUUCACUCCCCAGAUGGCUGAAACGACUGGAGCUGGGCUGAUCUGAAGCCAGGAGCCAGGAGCUGCUUCUGGGUCUCCCAUGUGGGUGCAGGGGCCUAAGGAUUUGGGCCACCCUCUGCUGCUUUCCCAGGCCACAGCAGAGAGCUGGAUCAGAAGUAGAGAAGCUGGAGCUCAAACCAGCACCCAUAUGGAAUGCCAGCACAACAGGUGGUCACUUCACCUGCUACGCCACAGCUGCAGCCCCUCAUAAAAAUUUAAAGAUUAAAUUACAUAAAAGAAGAUGUUUUGGGGCUGGUGCUGUGGCUCACUUGGUUAAUCCUCCACCUGUGGCACCAGCAUCCCAUAUGGGCAUCAGGUUCUAGUCCCGGUUGCUCCUCUUCCAGUCCAGCUCUCUGCUGUGGCCUGAGAAGGCAGUGGAGGAGGCCCAAGUGCUUGGGCCCUGCACCCCAUGGGAGACCAGGAGAAGUACCUGGCUCCUGGCUUCAGAUCAGUGCAGCGCUGGCCAUUGUGGCCAUUUGGGGAGUGAACCAACAGAAGGAAGACCUUUCUCUCUCUCUCUCUCUCUCACUGUCUGUAACUCUACCUGUCAACAACAAAAAAAUAAAAAUAAAAAUAAAUAAAAGCAGAUAUUUUACAUCUUUUGCUUUGUCUCCAGGUACUUCACAAUCCAGCCAGUCUUACCAUCUAACACUAUCUCAGCCUCAUCAUUGUCUAUUUGUUCAUGUGCAAAGAUUCUUGGAAUUCUUUGAAUAAAAAAUAGUUAGAAAUGAUGAAUAAAGAGAAGUACAUUAUUUGGUGUCUUUUUCA